ensembl:lncRNA
CCCAUCUCUGAUAGAUACAUCAGAGCCAGCAGCAAAUUCCAGAACUUCUGGCUGAGGUGAGGCUGCUCUCAGCGGGUUCAUGAGCACUGAACAGCCGCUGACGCUCUGGAGCUCACAUCUCCCAAAACGUCGAAGCAAAUUUUCAUAUAGACAAUAUAUUUAUUAACAAAUCGCAUAUUUGAAGUCUAAACCAGUACAUUCUCGCCUAAAAAAUACACUUAAAACUACAUCCGUGACACAAAAACAGUAUAAUUUAUAACAUUUUAGUGGAAUUGGGCGUCCACCAUGACAUCACUUGAAUAUCGCACUCUUAUCAGCCAAUCAGAUUUGAGGACCAGAAAAACUGCUUUAUAUACUGUAUAUAUCAUGUGUAUGUGUGUAAAUGAGUAGCCUACUGUAUGUAUGUUUAGAGUUAUGUGUUGUCAAUGUAAAGAUUCUUAUAAAUAUGCCAAUAAAAGUAGCCUAUGUGUCACGAAUCCUGUCAAUGAACUUCAGACUGUUACACAUCACCCUGGACUACAUUUCCCAUGCUCCAUUGCACUUAUCACAAGUUCACCUGAAACCAAUCACACACAGCUGCUACCAAUAACACACAGUAUAUAAAUCAGUCUCACACCACCAUUCACUGCCGAGUAUUGUUUGCGUUUAUUCCUCAGUCAGUGAUAGCACUUUACGGAGCUAUUCCGUUUUUUCAUAGUUUAACCUUGUUUAUUGCCUGAGUCAUUCAUGUCUUGAUCCUAGCCUGUGUUUGUCAUUUCUUUGUGUUCUCUGCCUGCCCUGAAGUUUAUAGCCUGUCUUUGAUUACCCCUCUCGUCUUGCUCUGUUCGGAUAAUACUUACCCCUCGCCUGGACCAUAGCCUGUGUUUCGGAUUUACCCUUUGGAUUACUCUGUUUUGAUAUUGUUCGCUGGAGAUCAACCAUGCCCAAUCACUGGACUACUCUUACAUCUUGCCCUCAAUAUGCCUGUUUGCCAUCGUCUGACUCUCACCUGUUUUGACCAUUGGUGGGCAGAUCGAGGCUUCGUGAAGCAAUGAAACAGUUGAAGCAAAUGUGCCAUAUUGUGUCGAGGCUUCGAAUCAAUCCGACACCCGUCUCAACGGUGACACCUAGUGGUCACUUGCAGGUGUUGAUCUGAAAAAACCUGGACAACAAGCCAUUAAAAUGUUUUUUUUUUUUUU